rnacentral:rRNA from 1 species
AAAUUGAAGAGUUUGAUCAUGGCUCAGAUUGAACGCUGGCGGCAGGCCUAACACAUGCAAGUCGAGCGGUAACACAGAGAGCUUGCUCUCGGGUGACGAGCGGCGGACGGGUGAGUAAUGUCUGGGAAACUGCCUGAUGGAGGGGGAUAACUACUGGAAACGGUAGCUAAUACCGCAUAACGUCGCAAGACCAAAGAGGGGGACCUUCGGGCCUCU